GCAAACGAGCAUGUAAGUGAGAGGCAUCAUGCAAAUGCAACCCCCACUUAAAAUCCACAAUAAAAUACCAACAGUCUGCAGCUGCCAGGAGGCUCUGGGGCACUUCAUGUUUCAUGGGAGAUCUGCAGCGGACUAGGUUUUAAAUGUAUCUGUUCUGUCUUCUUUCCCUCAAGGUCUUUUGAUACUUUAUUCUUGUUGGAACAAACUUACUCCCAGUACUCAAAUGCCAGUCAGUUGUCCCAUGGUUAUCUUUAAGCUACCAUAUUCCAACACCCCCGCCUCCCCCACUCUCACCCAAAAAAAAGAACAAAUGGUUAAUAAUGGCUUCACAGAGUUGUUCUGUAUCCCCCCAGGAUCUUUUUUAAUCCUCUCCAAUUUACCGCCCUGUCUGCAGAAAAAGAAGUCUCCACAAUCCAGAAUGUUCCUCCCACUCAGGCUACAUCAGCUGCACCCACCCACUCCCUUCCCCAGGAAGGAGGAAGAGCAGUGGUUAUGCUCUUAACCUUUCUGUCUGGCCUUGAGCCAGCGCUUUACCUGCAUGGUUUUAACUAUGUUUCCUACAGUCCUGUGGGGUAAGUACUAUUGUUCUGUCCACUUAGCUAUGAGGAAAAUAAAGCUAAGAAAGGUAUAGUAGCUAGCUAAGGUCACACAGCUAGUUGGUGGCAAAGCUGGGGCUCAAACCCGGGGUGUGUAACUCCAAAAGUUUAUGCUUUUGCAUUGUGGUAAAUGCAGCGUUAUUCUUGGGUGGUCUCCCCAGGCCACAUGUCAGGUUCAUUCCUUUAGCUUUCACUUAAGGUUAAGUAGAGAAGAGAGUCUUUGUGAAGCAAUAGAAUGCACCUGGUUUAAGGAGGCUUUGCUUCUUGUUAAACCCAGGAGUAAUGUAUUCAUCUUAUCUUAGCAGUUGCUUAAAUGUACUAAUUCAAUUCCUGGGUUUUAACUAGUGUAUAAAGACAGGCCUAUUCCUGAAAUGCUACGAGAUGAAGCAUCUGAGUCAGAUUAUACCAGAGCAUGUGCUGGGCUAUUUUUAGAACAAGGCUGUAUAUAGGACAUAGUUUUCUGGUUAUGUCACAAUCUUGCAGGUGUGCUUUCUAUUCACAUUUCGGAUAAAAAUAGAUGCAUACGUUGGUGAUAAAAAGAUAAAUGCAAUACAGUUUCUGCCCUUGAAGAGUUCCAAGGCUGGUUACGGGGACAGAAACAGUAGAAAUCGAGCAAAAGAAUGUAAAAAACAUGGUGUGAUGGGGGUAGAGGGGCACAGAUAGUAGCAAAUUAAGAAGACUUAGCCUGCCUCGUUGGGCAACAAACUUUAUCAGGUGCCAGGCACUGGAAAGACAAAGAUGCACAGACACAGUCCUGGCUCUCAGGGCACUUGCACCCUCGUGGGGGGAACCAGCCCUGCUCAAACUGCAGCACCAGAGCGGAGUUACACAGAGAGGAGUGCUCAGUAGGAAAGCAGGGCUGUCUGGGGAACGCAGAACAAAGAACUUGACUUGGUGGGAGAGGACAGGCUUCCCUGCCUCCUGGCUCAGAAGCCUCCCCCACACCAGGGGGUGAGUCUUGAGCUUAGUGGUGAGGAAAGAGUUAAGAGGAGGCCUCACCUGAAGGAGAGGAGGGAGUGGAGAGCGUUACAGAAAGAGGUAAUCACAUGCCAAGGCCCUGUUUUAAGAGAAAUCAGAGCCUUUCCGAAACACUGCCAAUAACUCGUGUGACAGAGGUCUAGACAGCAAGGGGAAGGAGGUACAAAAUGGUGGGGCAGGGGAGUGUGAAAAUAAAGGGAACCUCACUAGAAUGGAGUUGCAAGUUGAGGCAGAGGGAGUUCUCCUGCCCUACCACUGGUGGUCCACUGCAAAUCCAGGACAAGAUAGGAACUUGCACUUGGAUUUGGCUUUACUACUCCAGCAGGAGGAAGAAAGGCUUUGCUCCCACCUUGGCAAUAGCCCAGCCAAUGAGAGAUGGUCACAGCUCCACCAGUGAAAAGCCACCAUGCUUCCAGCUCCCAUUUUAGUCCAAUGGGCUUCUUGUUCAUAACAGCCUUCCCAAAGGCCCACUUUGCCCUAUAAAAGAGCAUUCCUCUCCUUGGUUUAGCAGAGUUGCCCUGUAUCCCAGAUUGCCAUUCCCUGCUAGUCCCCAAUAAACCCAUUUUUGCUGGUAAAAUAACUAGAAGUUUUAUUUUUAAGGCUAACAGAACGCAUACAAGGGCCAGCGGCUGCAGGAGCUGACCAAUGAAGCAUUCCUGACACUGUGUAAUCCCAGGAAGAUGAAGUUCCACACCAGCGACUUGAAACCUGAAUAAGACAGACCCAGCAACUGAGACAUAAGACUGCAGGAUUUUUCACGGACCCUAGUGUAGAGAAGAGUGGCUGUGGCGUUAUACAAACUUUCCAUCUAUUGAGUCUUUUCUGCACACCUAGCAUUCAAUCCUCCCCUAAAGUUCUCCGAGGUAGUUAUCACUCUCCUCAUUUGCAAAUGAAGAAACUAAGAAUCACCUCAAGAUUAACUGCAAUUCCCGGGCUGCAUUUGGUGGGCAGUGGGGCUGGGAUUUGAAUUCAGAUUUCUCUGAUGACAAAUCACCACAUGCAGUAUCCAAAGGAGUAUUAUGAGAGUCCUGGUUGAAGACCAAGCAUUCACAUUUUCAUUGAAUCCAAAAUAUGCUGCCCGACACACUGUCUGGAGAGGAAGUAAGCCUCUGGAGGGAACAGUUGUGGAUGCCCUGCCAUGCCCAACAUGUUUGAUGCUCAAGUAAACAACACCUUUGUGGAGUCAUCAUAGAGUUAUAAGUCCUCUGAUAACAGAUUCAUUUCUUAGCAUAAGAAAGUAGCAUUUCCCCCAAUUUGUGGGGAAGUCCAAGUGCAGGCAUUACAAA